UGAACUCCGCUUUGAAGAUAUUCUUGUGAGAGUAUAUAAAUGAAGAUACGGCAUGAUAAGUUGAGGUUUUCUUUCAGGACGAGAAAGCAACUUUCAAUCUGUUUCCGACAUAUUUCGAAAUGACUUCAUCAUCUAUCCCUACAAUGGCCAAUCGACAAUGCAUUACAGUGAUUUUGCUUUCAGCAAAAACGGCCUGCCCACUCUAGACCCAUACUAUGAUGACAUAGCAACAUUCCGUGAAGAUUUCUGGUACAGCAUGAAAGAAGUGAACGAGGCGUACCAAUGCACUCAGCUCUGUACCAGCGGUAUCCCCACAUGCUUGAAUGACGGC